GAUGAACGCUGGCGGCGUGCCUAAUACAUGCAAGUAGAACGCUGAAGGAAGGAGCUUGCUCUUUCCGGAUGAGUUGCGAACGGGUGAGUAACGCGUAGGUAACCUGCCUGGUAGCGGGGGAUAACUAUUGGAAACGAUAGCUAAUACCGCAUAACAGUAGAUGUUGCAUGAUAUCUACUUAAAAGGUGCAAUUGCACCACUACCAGAUGGACCUGCAUUGUAUUAGCUAGUUGGUGAGGUAACGGCUCACCAAGGCGACGAUACAUAGCCGACCUGAGAGGGUGAUCGGAGACACUGGGACUGAGACACGGCCCAGACUCCUACGGGAGGCAGCAGUAGGGAAUCUUCGGCAAUGGACGGAAGUCUGACCGAGCAACGCCGCGUGAGUGAAGAAGGUUUUCGGAUCGUAAAGCUCUGUUGUAAGAGAAGAACGAGUGUGAGAGUGGAAAGUUCACACUGUGACGGUAUCUGACCAGAAAGGGACGGCUAACUACGUG
rnacentral:rRNA from 1 species